AUACGGAGGAUCCGAGCGUUAUCCGGAUUUAUUGGGUUUAAAGGGUGCGUAGGCGGUUUGCUAAGCGGGAGGUGAAAUGCCGGCGCUCAACGUCGGAAGUGCCUCCCGAACUGGUGGACUUGAAUGACUCUGCCGUGGGAGGAAUGUGUAGUGUAGCGGUGAAAUGCUUAGAGAUUACACAGAACACCGAUUGCGAAGGCAUCUCACGAAGGGUUGAUUGACGCUGAGGCACGAAAGCGUGGGGAUCAAACAGGAUUAGAUACCCUGGUAGUCCACGCAGUAAACGAUGAUGGCUAACCGCUGGGCUUAUCAGUUCAGUGGCCAAGCGAAAGCGAUAAGCCAUCCACCUGGGGAGUACGACCGCAAGGUUGAAACUCAAAUGAAUUGGCGGGG
rnacentral:rRNA from 1 species